UACGAAGGGGGCUAGCGUUGUUCGGAAUUACUGGGCGUAAAGCGCACGUAGGCGGGUUGUUAAGUCAGGGGUGAAAUCCUGGAGCUCAACUCCAGAACUGCCUUUGAUACUGGCAAUCUAGAGACUGGAAGAGGUUAGUGGAAUUCCCAGUGUAGAGGUGAAAUUCGUAGAUAUUGGGAAGAACACCAGUGGCGAAGGCGGCUCUCUGGGACGGUACUGACGCUGAGACGCGAAAGCGUGGGGAGCGAACAGG
rnacentral:rRNA from 1 species